rnacentral:rRNA from 1 species
CAGUCGCCGCGGUAAUACGAAGGGUGCAAGCGUUACUCGGAAUUACUGGGCGUAAAGCGUGCGUAGGUGGUGGUUUAAGUCCGUUGUGAAAGCCCUGGGCUCAACCUGGGAAUUGCAGUGGAUACUGGGUCACUAGAGUGUGGUAGAGGAUAGUGGAAUUUCCGGUGUAGCAGUGAAAUGCGUAGAGAUCGGAAGGAACAUCUGUGGCGAAGGCGACUAUCUGGGCCAACACUGACACUGAGGCACGAAAGCGUGGGGAGCAAACAGGAUUAGAUACCCGAGUAGUCCCGUCUCUUAUACA